CGGUGCCGGCCGACCCGGAAGCAUGUCUGUCCCUAGCGGAGGCGCGGGUGCCGUGCUGAGAGCGCCUGCCUGUGCGCCCCGAGCGGGGCUGGGACUCUUCCAAGAUGCCCACGUUCGCACAGAGACCCCGGAUCGCGGAAGCUCGCGUCUCGAAAGGCCUGCGGUCUCACGCCCUGCCCGUCCUGGGUUCACGGUUUUUCAUCACCUGCGGCUGUCCUGCGAUCGACCACAGCUGUGCAGGAGGGGCAGGAGGUAUCUGUUGCUGCAGUUACCGGAACCUUUGCCAGGACUAGUACAGGACCACGGGCUGGUAGCUCAGGGAUGUCUCGUCUGUGAGUUACAGCUGCACGCUCUCCAGGAAAGAAGGAAUUUCCUCUUCUCUGGAAACCCCACCACACAGCUGGUUUCUCAUUGGUGCUGCUUGCCCAUUCCCUGAGCUGUGACUGCCAGAGGAGUGGGAGGUUGGUGGUGCCUCCAGCCCAUCAGGGGCAGGCCCUGGGACCGCCUGGGAACAGGAGGACUAUGGCACAAACCGAGUGAGUGAUGGGAGCAACCCGCAGGGCUCUGCCACAUCCCUGUCUUCCUUCACUGACAUGAAACGCAGAAAAGGCAGCUUUGCCACAACACAGGAGCACGCACCGAAUGUGGCCGCCCAGGGCUCUGUCCUUGACCCUGUUGUCCAGGACUGUUUACCAAGGGCUGACAGGCACUGAGUGCCCCGUGCACCUGGCCAGACACUGCACUCAUGCAGCGGAAAGGACAGUGAACGAGACUUUGUCCCUGGCCUCCAAAGGCUUAGGGCGUAGUGGCUGUCAUGAGGCACAGUGACAAGGGCCAGGAGGGGGACCUCUUAGGGGGCCAUGCAGUGAUGGAAGCCAGAAGGAAUGAAGGCCUGCAGUGAGGAUGGAGUGGUCGGCCUGAAGCCAUCUCUAGCAAGUGGUCAGGACGCUGAUUGUUCUGCGCAGGUUGGAGGUAGGUGGUGAGUCUGAGAAAGGGGCCGGAAAGACUCCCCAGCAACUGCUGGCAAAGGGUGAAGGGCACGUUCCCACAGGAUUCAAGCCAGCUGCCUUUGGAGGGGAGACGGGCACUCAGUUUAGGCGCUCCUACAGCAGGGUCAGCAAGACAAGCAGGUUGCGGCAAGGGUCUGCGCACUGCUGUGUAAAUGUAGGGGCAUCGGGGGGCAGAAAGACCAGGGGAGAAGUGUGCAUCACCCUUGGGGUUAAGGGACAGUUGUCUGCUAGGUGUUGCUUCCUGGAGAUGGCUGAAAAGCCAGUCCAGUCUGCAGGGACCAGGCCACCACCCACCUGAUGUGGGAGCAUUUCCCCCAAUCCCUGCUGGGCUGCUGAAUCUGGGGGACAUAGGGAAGCUGAGGCUGGUGUUCUGAGUAGUGGCAGAGCUGAGCCACAGGGCAUGUCUGAGGUCAGCCCCGAGCAAAAUGGAAUAGGGACUCAGGGUGGGUCAGGUAACUGGAAAGCGGGCACUGUGCACGCAGCCCUUGAGGGGAGCCAGGGUGGGUGGGGAUCCCCCACUGUGUGCAGAAGGCAGCAGCCUUGGAAGCAGGGUGUGCUCCUCGGUGUGGUCGCUCGAUACCAGAAAAUGACUCUAAAAACUGAAGAGUGUUUGAGUUUCAUUCACACAAAACAUGGACAUCAUCUGUGAGGCUCUGUCCCAGAGAGACAGGGCCAUCCCUCAUGUCUGUUAUUGGGUUGUAGAUAAACAAAAGUAUAAAUCAAACAAACUGCAAAUUAAAAAAAAAAAAAAAAAAA
rnacentral:lncRNA from 1 species